rnacentral:lncRNA from 1 species
CUUUAUUUAAGAUCUGUCUUUCGCAGACAAUUAUUAAAUUUCCUCUUUGGGUGGUUACAUUACAUAACAACCAAUUUCGCUGUAGCGAUUAAAUAACAAAAAAAAAAAACAUAUGUACGCUAUAUAAUGGUAUCUUUAAUGAAUUUCAUAGGCCUAUUAAAUUCAAUUUUUAAAGUAUUCAAUUCUCUCUUCUCCUUAUGAAAUUUUCUUUUUUCUUUUUAAGACAUAUUUCUCUAUCGCAACAUGGGAAUGUUCAUCGCAACAAUGAGUCUUUAUUCCACCCCUCUUACGUUGAAUUCCAUCGACAAUUACGUAUUUUACCGUUGGCAACAUAAUUUGUAUGGACCAGCAACAUGCUGCGAAAAGUUAGCAGCAUGCUGCGAAUACCUGCUUGGCAUUGUUCCCCAACAUUUUUCCUGGAAUAAGCAACACUUAGUACCCUUGGAGGGAGGGAUGUCCUCGAAUUAGAAAAAAAUUAAGGAAAUCCUUGGCUCUAAUCAAUGAAAAAACAGGUAUAUCUGCGUUGGAGAGAUAUCUUUAUAAGCCAUUAUUAUGUUUAAGAACAGCUUUGAAAACGAAAUGUUUAUCUUAAAUAAUGGAAACAGGGUACACAGGGGAACAUACUACAGGGUGGGCACCAACAAAUUGUGAAAUAACGGAACAAAACAUUUAAAAACGUAGCGUUUAUUUUGUUCAUUUUUUUUUCUGACCCUUUCAGCUAAAUCGUUAUUUUUGUAAACAAUCCAAUAAAAUAAG